CCUACGGGUGGCAGCAGUAGGGAAUAUUGCUCAAUGGGGGAAACCCUGAAGCAGCAACGCCGCGUGGAGGAUGAAGGUUUUCGGAUUGUAAACUCCUUUUGUUAGAGAAGAUAAUGACGGUAUCUAACGAAUAAGCACCGGCUAACUCCGUGCAAGCAGCCGCGGUAAUACGGAGGGUGCAAGCGUUACUCGGAAUCACUGGGCGUAAAGAGCGCGUAGGCGGGAUAGCAAGUCAGAUGUGAAAUCCUAUGGCUUAACCAUAGAACUGCAUUUGAAACUGUUAUUCUAGAGUAUGGGAGAGGUAGGUGGAAUUCUUGGUGUAGGGGUAAAAUGCGUAGAGAUCAAGAGGAAUACUGAUUGCGAAGGCGGCCUGCUAGAACAUAACUGACGCUGAUGCGCGAAAGCGUGGGGAGCAAACAGGAUUAGAUACCCCUGUAGUC
rnacentral:rRNA from 1 species